CCAGAAUCCCAUAUAGACAUGACUUUUUCUUUUUUCUUUUUUUUUUUUCUGGUACCGGGGAUCGAACUUGGGACCUUGCGCUUGCCAGUGGGAUUUAGGCGUGACUCACAGUGGCUGCACAGUAGCAAAAACCCAUCUGUGCAUUCACCCACUUGGCAGACAAAUGGCAAGGUACCGGAGCUUCAGAGCAACAACAGAAGUAGCCCAAUUCAGCACAAUGGCACAUGAAAAACCAGAUUUGCAAGUUUUGGAGAAGGUCAAAAGUGAAUCAUUAGAUUACUCAUGCUGGAUGAUGGAGAUGAUGAUGACUUUGACGUUGGCCAUGCUAGCCAAAUUUCCUGUGACAGUGAAAUGGAGCAAGAAUUGACUGAUACAGACACAGGGAAUGCAGACCUCUUUAAUUCAGGUGACAAAGAAAACAGCAAUGUAAGUGCAUAUUUGACUAUUGGAAUGUUGCAAAAUGGUCAUACAACCAAAUGGAAUGAACCGAUGUUAGAACUAGGUCCGAAAAUAUAGUGAGGAUCUUGGCAGGGGUGAAAUUAUUGGACAGAAUGCCAGCACUGCCACUCAAUGUUGGAAAUUGUUUUUUUUUUUGUUGUUGUUGUUUUUGAGGCAGGGUCUCCCUUUGUAGUUCAGGCUGGCCCUGAACUCACUAUGUACCACAGGCUGGCUUUGAAUUCAUGGCGAUUCUCCUGCCUCAGCCUCCUGAGUGCUGGGAUUACAGGUGUGAGCCACCACGCCCGGG
rnacentral:lncRNA from 1 species